AGUAAUUGUUAAUUUUAUACUCGUAGAGUCUGAAAGAAUGUUUGUAUGGAGAUACUGUACAUGUAUUGUAAAAAGAAACAAAACACUUGUGAUCAAUGAUAUUAAUGCCGCCUAUCACAGUACUCUGUCUGUGGUCAGAAUUAAGGCACAACGAUCUGAGGUAAAUGUCAUUAUUGAAGUUUUUAAUUUGCCAUUUGUUUACUGCCUUGCAUUUUAAUUUAAUAGACAUCCUGCGUGUCCUUAUUAGUCUAAAUAAUGAGACCUCGGGUAGGUCGAUUUUACAUUCUGAUAUUUUACGUUGAAUAUUUACCAGUCAAAAAAGUAAUAAUAAUAUAUAUAUAUAACAAUAUUCAAGGCCUGAGUACAAUUACUGGGACUAGCAUGUCCUAGGCCUUUAGUAAGAUCAGUGAUAGAGAAUUCUGGGGGAGAAUUUAGCUGCUUAUACAAAUAUAAUUUCACAUGGGGAAAGUUACAAAGACUAUAUCGUAUAACAACAUUAUUAUCAAUUACACAAUUUUGUUAACUUAUAAAUGAGCAUAGCAUUCCGACACGAUUAUCCACUACAAUAAUCUGGCAGAUAAGUACUUGCCUUGAAAGAAAUCCAUGUAAUUUUAUGGCUGAAUAAUUUAAUUUUGUGUAUGUUAAUUGAAUAUAUAGAUAAAUUUUAUUUGAGGUCAGUAUUUGUACACUUCAGUCGUUUCAAUCGGUCUUCAUAGGAGGAAGGGAUGGUAAUUUCGUACAGGCAGUAAUUUUGUCGGCAGUUAUUAAGCAUAUUCUCUUAAUUAAUAAAUAUUUAGCAUGAUCACUUGGUUCUAAUGUUUCUUUUGUAGAUACUUUUACAUCUAGCAUAUAAUAUUAUCUCUGCUAAAUUGGAUGGCAUGGUUUAAUCAUGCAGUCACCCAGUUCAGUUUCUAUUUACCUUGUCAUGUUACAAAUUAGCUUUAGUAUGUAUACUGCACUUCUACACUCUAUAUAAGCAGGAUAACUGAAUAAUAACAAAUUUGCUUAUUAAGGAAAUACACUCUGCAUAACCACAUAUUGUAAAAAGUCUGUUCAAUUUUUAUUACAGUGCGAAAAUGCUCAACUUCUAACUUAUGUAUUACAAAUUUCUGUAUUUAAUAUGGUACCAACACCAAGUUUUAUAUUGCAAGACAAUGGUACUAUUACAGGCAAAAUCAAUGUGUUUCAUGUGCGAACUUUUAAGCCUGAUUCACAUUUAAUGGGGAUGAUUGGGCAAAGAACUGGUCCCUGUGCCUGUGGUCUCAUGAUCGCAGCUUAAAUAAUAUAUAAUGUUUUGAAACAGGUAAAUUUAAGGGAUAUGGAGGAAACCGUAAAUUCAUUAGUCCAAUGUUGCAAACAUAAAAUCCCAAAACAGAUUAUAGUUAAGCAAUUAAAAACAAUUUUAGCAUUUAAUAUACAUACAUAUUUAGGUUGGCAGUCACAAAUAAUCUAGCGUACAAUAAUAAGAAAUGUUAGUAACUAAACAAAAGUAUUAUUCUAAGAGUAAGGUUCGUUAUGUGAAAGUUUUAAGUGUGACAAUCUUGCGAAUUUGCAUGACAAACAGUCUGUCUGUUUUUGAUAUUUUCAAUUUGUCUUUUAUGCGAUGAGUCUAUAAUUUAUAAAUAACAAAAAGAAAACAAUAACAGCAAAAACAGUAACAAAAAUCUUCCAUGAUUCAGUUUGGUUUAAAAAUAAAUUGAAAAAAUAAAAAUAAAUAGGGCAAUGAUUGUAAUAUAAAUUUUGUAGUAGUGACAGGUCGGAGCUUGAAUUCCACAUUAUCGUGUUACAAUUGAAACAGAAACUGUUUCACCAUUAAUGGUAAAUAUAUAAAUUGGAUGUGAUUAAAGGGCUUUAAUUAAAAGAAAUUAUUGAAUCAUUGCUUUACUUUAAUUUUAACUGUUUGUAUGAAAAAUUUAACUGUAUGAAAAAGAAACAAUAACACAAAGUUUACAUCAGAAAUAGAGCGCACGAAAUAUCAUUCAAGGCCUAAUUUGUGCAUUAGACAAUUUAUAUUUUGUCAUUAUGUCGGUUAGAACAUCCAUAAGUAUCAUUAAUAAUAAUAAUAAUAAUAAUAAUAAAAAAUGGGUAUCAGUAUGAAUACAGUUAGUACAGGAUCAAGUAAUUGGGCAACAUAGCUGACUUUGUCCUGAAGGCAAGAGCCUGAUAAAGCAGGAUAAAAGAUGUCAUAGUCAUCAUCAUUAAUUUUGAAAUAAACAGAAGUUGUCAAAGGCUGCAAGUUUCUAAGACAACUUUGAUUAGGUUUGUAGUAAGUCAUUAGAAUUUUGGGGGAAUAAAUUUUUCAAAUUUAUUGUGGCGGAAAAUUCUAUGACUGGGCGAGCAGGCAGGCGCAUGCUCUUGUAAAAUAUAGGUCAGAUUUAAUGUUACAAUCUUUUGGUGGUUGUAUGUUGUUGUUGUUGUGAUGUAUUCUGCUAGGUCGGUUGACAGUAUAUCGAACCAUUGGUUGCUUGUCUGUUGUUAAAGUGAUACUAACAGCUAGCUCUGUUAACACUUUAGUGUGUUAACCGCUAGGUCAGUUAAAUUGUGUUAACCGCUAGGUCGGUUAAAGUGUGUUAACCGCUAGGUCGGUUAAAGUGUGUUAACCGCUAGGUCGGUUUAAAGUGUGUUAACCGCUAGGUCGGUUUAAAGUGUUAACCGCUAGGUCGGUUUAAAGUGUGUUAACCGCUAGGUCGGUUAAACUGUGUUAACCGCUAGGUCGGUUAUAGUGUGUUAACAGCUGUGUCGAUUUAAAGUGUGUUACCGCUAUGUCGGUUAACGGAUAGGUCAGUUUACAGUGUGAACUAGGUUUUGCCCAUUACUACGUAGCGUAAUUCCUAGUUUCACAAGUCCGCAGUUGCUAUUUUAAUCAAUUUAUUGAAAACAUGCGCUUGCUUGCUCGUCAGUCAGUGGGCCUGAUAUCAUGCGGCCUUUUCUGCCACUUAUUAAUAUGAUUGAUAUACAAUUUUGUUCAAUACCCUUUGGUGUAACUUGUUUGUAUGUUGAAGUGUUGACCUGGAAUAAAGUAUUAUCGCUUACAUAAUGUUGCUAGUUAUUUCCUUGAGAAGUCCUAAAAUAAGACUUAUUAUUUUAUUAAUAUUAAAUAAUAACAUUUAUUUUGGCGCAUCAAGCUUGGUGUGUAUCCAAGGUUACCAAAUUAAAUUUGGUAUUUGGAUACACUCGGCAUUUUCCGUAUACAGUAAUCAUUAGUGUGUGACCACUGGUCAGUCAAUAGUCGGCAUGUGUACAACCAACAGAAAAUGAAAUGGUUUCAAAAUCCCACCCGCCACUCCCAUUUAGGUGCCAUGCCAUUUACUUGUCAUAUUGUUAGUGGUACAUGUCAGUGAAUAUCUAGUAGGUCACCAUUUGCAACCUAUAAUAUUAUAUAUAUAUAAAAAAAAAGAUGCAAAAUUGAUCUGUUUUAAAUGGUUCGGGAUUGCAGGUGUUUGGCAGUUACAUGUCUCUGUAUAGUAUGGAGCAUAGUUUAAAUUAUUCGAGAUCAGUUUAACAAGUUUGUUUUUAGUAGAGUAGCUGGUACAUGUAUGGUGACAUAUUUUGUUAUUUACAAUGUUUAAUAUCCAUGUAUUUUGCAGUAUACUGCCGGUGGAGUUUUAUAUAUUUUCAGGCUGUUUAUGCAGUAAGGAAGGAAAGUUGUGAACAGUCAGUAAAUAAAAAUGGACAAUAUACCACGCACAAAUGGUAUACCAAGCACAAAUGGAAGGAGUACAAACAAUAUUUAAAACCAUUACGUGAUGCCUGUUUAACACGGAUAUACAUACAAGCUAAAUUACUAAGCUAGUCAAGUGGAUUGUAUAAAUCAAAUUUAUCCAAAGCCUCUGGGAAUGUGGAAUAGAAACUUGAAAGCAACAAGUUUAGAAACUAGAAUGACUUUAAUUAACAACAGCUACAAAUGUCACAAUAAUUGUUUUAACAUGAACUUUCCAUUUGAUCCAUCACAAUUUCACAAAGCAGGAAAAUUCACAAACGCUGGAAUCCUAAAACUUAUAUACAAAUUAGACACACCUUGUCUAUUGGGACAGGCCUUGUCACAAACAAACAGUAAUUGCCUGUAACAAAACUAGGAGACAUACAAAAGGAAUUGUUCAAGAAAUAUCAGCUGCAGUGGCACUUACCAGGACAUUAGCUUAGUAUGUCAUGACAGGACAGUGAGUAAGAUGACAAUAUUACAAUAGCAAGAGGAGAAAUAUAAAUAUACUCUCUUAUAGUAAUAUGUAUUACUUAUUGUUUGCAAAAGUGUUUUAAUAACUUGUAACACUAACAUGUGUAACAGAAAACACUAAUAUAAGUAAUAUAAGUAAUUAAGCCGAGACUGGAAAGAUGUUUGUUCAAAUGUAGUUUUAUCAAUAGACUUACGCAAAUGGAAACCAAGAAGCGGUCAGCUCCUUAAUAUCGAAGAACAAUUAAUCAAGGGAUGUCUCAGUAAUGGUCUUCACAUAAACAUAAAAUACUUUUUCAGCAGUGACAAUAUUAUUCCAUGCUUCAUUUCGGGGAUGUUCAGUUGCAAUUAUACUGAUUAUAUUGUUUGAAUUAGCUAUAUUUUGUUUUUACAUGUUGAAAGUUGCAUAAAUAGUGCAAUGAACUUUGGGCAGUAUGAACUUUGAGUAAUCAAUGUUUCCUAAAUUCAACUGAUGUACUUUUUAUGUUAUAUAAAUUGCAUAGUCAGCCAGGUCAUGUAAUCCAACGCUUUCCCGUACUUUUCUCUCAAAGCGUUUUUAGGGUUUUUGUGCGCGGAUUACAAAUAAAACUUGUACAUGAUUUUAUUUUGCUUAAUCUCUGUUCAUUGCACUAUUUACUGUUUAUGCCACGAAGAACUAACUUGUUCAUAAUAAGUUAUUCUGAUUCAUGUCAUUCACAUUACCGUCUAUGUUACAUAUUUUGGAUGGACUUUUACAUAUUUAUGUUUUAGGACCAUGUUAGAUUGGCUGUAGCCAAAUAUGCUAUUCUUCUUUAUAAAAAAAAAAGUUACUGAUUUGAAUAUGAAAUCAUUCUGAUAUUUAUCCUUUUCCUGGAAAAAUGUUUUACGAAGUUUCAGUUCUAUAUAUAAUUGGAAACAUUAUUUCUUAUGAUUCUGUUGUUACCUCUGAAUGUAUUGAGUAGAAAAUGAAAAGAUAAAUGCAAUGAUUUAACUUUUAAGAUUAAGUAAACUAUUAUAUACAUUAAUUUAGGAUUCUGUCGCACUGAUAAGGAUCUCCAACUGACAUAGAGUAAGCAUGUGUAUUUACCAUCAGUUAUCCAAUUCAAGCCUAAUUUCAUCUCAUUGAUACGUUGAAUCUUGUAGAUUUUAACUUUAGUAUACUACGGGUGACUACGGUCGCAAUGCUCCUUGUCCUUGGUAACUUGGGUGGCUGUGGUCACAAUGCUCCUUAAGUAGUUUAAGUUUUGGCGUCUACAUGUACAUGCUAAAUUUGCCAGGAGUUAUUUACCUAAAUCAAACAUUUGAGUGGAUAAGGCAGUUUUUGCAGUGAUAAUUGAGAUCUUGUAGAUUUCAACUUGCUGUACUAUGGGUGACUAUGGUCACAAUGCUCCUUACGUAUUUUGGGUUGUCGUCUGCACCCUUAAAUUAUCCUAACUGCUUUUGCCUAAAUCCGAUUAACAUUUUUGUUAAUAAUGUGUAUGUUAUUGUCAUAAUACAACUAAACGGGGAUAAUUUUACAACACACGGGUUAGUUUCAUAGCAGGAGAGAUGUAUGCUACUAUGGCAGUUUUAAGUGUGACAACUUUUUCUACGGUUGUAUGUUGUUGUGAUGUAUUCUGCUAGGUCGGUUGACAGUAUAUCGAACCAUUGGUUGCUUGUCUGUUGUUAAAGUGAUACUAACAGCUAGCUCUGUUAACACUUUAGUGUGUUAACCGCUAGGUCAGUUAAAUUGUGUUAACCGCUAGGUCGGUUAAAGUGUGUUAACCGCUAGGUCGGUUAAAGUGUGUUAACCGCUAGGUCGGUUAUAGUGUGUUAACAGCUGUGUCGAUUUAAAGUGUGUUACCGCUAUGUCGGUUAACGGAUAGGUCAGUUUACAGUGUGAACUAGGUUUUGCCCAUUACUACGUAGCGUAAUUCCUAGUUUCACAAGUCCGCAGUUGCUAUUUUAAUCAAUUUAUUGAAAACAUGCGCUUGCUUGCUCGUCAGUCAGUGGGCCUGAUAUCAUGCGGCCUUUUCUGCCACUUAUUAAUAUGAUUGAUAUACAAUUUUGUUCAAUACCCUUUGGUGUAACUUGUUUGUAUGUUGAAGUGUUGACCUGGAAUAAAGUAUUAUCGCUUACAUAA